rnacentral:tRNA from 1 species
CCUCUGGUAGCUCAGUUGGUAGAGCGGUGGACUGUAGAUCCAUAGGUCGCUGGUUCAAAUCCGGCCCCAGAGGA